rnacentral:rRNA from 70 species
GGUGACUAUAGCAUCAGGGUUCCACCUCUUCCCAUUCCGAACAGAGAAGUUAAGCCUGAUCACGCCGAUGGUACUGCGUAACAGUGGGAGAGUAGGUAGUCGCCGUUU